GGUGCAGUUUGAGGGUAUGGUUUAGUGGAGUUUUAGGGCUGUGGAUGAAAGUUUUGGAUCUGUGGUAGAUGGUAGCAAAGGUUUGAAAGAAAUAAGUGGAAGUUGCAGCAAGUAUGUGCUAUCUUGUAAGAGUAGAAUUGUCGUCGAAGAAACAACAGUUUCUCGACGUAAUUUCCACCAAAAACUUGAGAGAAUUGAGGAGGGAAUUGAUAGC
rnacentral:lncRNA from 1 species